GAAUGUCAGUUCAAAAUAGGACAUUAUAAAUUAGCCAUAAUAUUCAUUAUGUCCCCCUUCUCCCUGCCAUUUUUUAUUGUAACUGUCCUUUCUACAAGAUUGAAUUCUGUAUUUCUUUAAGACUGCUCAUUUCUGAUAUCUCUGGUAGUGCAUUUUUCAGGACAGUUAAUACAAUGUGAUGUUUAUUUGUGAUUAAACUCAAACCUUGCAUGUC